CACGUAGGGUGCGAGCGUUGUCCGGAAUUAUUGGGCGUAAAGAGCUCGUAGGCGGUGUGUCGCGUCGGCCGUGAAAACCUGCAGCUUAACUGUGGGCUUGCGGUCGAUACGGGCAUCACUGGAGUUCGGCAGGGGAGACUGGAAUUCCUGGUGUAGCGGUGAAAUGCGCAGAUAUCAGGAGGAACACCUAUUGCGAAGGCAGCUCGCUGGGACGGUACUGACGCUGGAGACGCGAAAGCGUGGGAGCGAACAGG
rnacentral:rRNA from 1 species